rnacentral:lncRNA from 1 species
CUCUUCAUCCGGAAGAACAGGAAAGGAUUCCAUCAAAGUGUCCUCUUUUUUCCCUCCCUCCCUCUCCUUCCGUGCAGAAAUCAACCCAUGGGUGAUAGCUACCCCAGAGACAGAGUUGCAGGGACUGUAGACAAGAGGCAGAGCAGGACAAAUGGACUGUCACUUGAAUGAGUUCUGAAUCAAGACAGAAACCCUGCCCUACUGUUCUUUCGCGGACAGUUCAAAGGGUCCUAGGUGCUACCAUCUCAAACGGACCUUGGGGGCUGCAACCAGCUGCUGGCUGAAGGAAGCAAAGGGGCUUUUCUAGUUCUUGAACAAGGAAGCUGUGGCCAGGACUCUAAGAAAAACAACCCCCAAGACUUAAUCUUGGUGCAUCAGCCUUCAGCGCUACAGGCCAUUUUCUAAAUUGCUAGGAUUGAGAACAGGAGGAAGAAAACAGCAAAAGAAAACAAAGUAAAACCUUGGCUGGGUACAAAGAAGACAGUAAGGGGGCGGGGGGGGGGGAAGAGGAGAGAGAAAACCGAAGGAGACCUUAAACUUUUUAACCAGAAGAUUAGGUUAGCUGGAUGGGAAGGGAUCCAUCAAAAUCGCAGGGCGCCUCCCCCUCCUACACGUACACACAGUGAUUGGGGAGCAACUAAUUAGUGCUACC